rnacentral:rRNA from 1 species
ACGGGAGGCAGCAGUAGGGAAUAUUGGACAAUGGGGGAAACCCUGAUCCAGCGACGCCGCGUGAGUGAAGAAAUAUUUCGGUAUGUAAAGCUCUAUCAGCAGGGAAGAAAAUGACGGUACCUGACUAAGAAGCACCGGCUAAAUACGUGCCAGCAGCCGCGGUAAUACGUAUGGUGCAAGCGUUAUUCGGAUUUACUGGGUGUAAAGGGAGCGUAGACGGCAUGGCAAGUCUGAAGUGAAAUGCGGGGGCUCAACCCCUGAACUGCUUUGGAAACUGUCAAGCUAGAGUAUCGGAGAGGUAAGUGGAAUUCCUAGUGUAGCGGUGAAAUGCGUAGAUAUUAGGAGGAACACCAGUGGCGAAGGCGGCUUGCUGGACGAUAACUGACGUUGAGGCUCGAAAGCGUGGGGAGCAAACAGGAUUAGAUACCCUGGUA